AUGUCCUCUCAGCCAAUAGAAACCGUUUACAGGAUAUUGUGCCCAGGAAAAAAGAUCGGCGGUGUCUUGGGGAGAGGUGGUCAUGUUGUUAAGGCCCUUAGAGAGGAGACUAAAGCAAAGAUAAGGGUUGCUGAUUCUAUUCCUGGUGCAGACGAGAGAGUAAUUAUUAUAUUUGAUUACCAAAAUAACUCCGACCAAGCUAUUCAAAAUAUUUCUAAUGUUGAUGGCUCAGAGAACAUGAAGCCCCAUUGUUUUGCUCAAGAUGCGUUGUUGAAGAUACAUGAUAAGAUUGCUGCUGAUGAAGAUUCCAACGAUGGAGUUUCCUAUGAGAAUUCUGAAACUGCUGGUGAUGUGACUGCUCGAAUUUUGGUUCCAGGCAAUCAAGUUGGCUGCCUGCUGGGAAAAGGUGGCUCUAUUAUACAACAAUUGCGAAAUGAUACUGGUGCAGGGAUCCGUGUCUUACCAUCGGAAAACCUUCCUCAGUGUGCACUUAAGAGUGAUGAAUUGGUGCAGGUAGAGCAGCAGACUGGUGCUCGCAUUAUGGUUCAGGAGUUGCCCAAAGAUGCUUCUGGAGAAAGGUUGAUUGUUAUUUCAUCCAAGGAGAUUCCGGCUGAUCCAGUAUCCCCAACAAUCGAGGCACUUAUUUUGCUCCAUAGUAAAGUAAGUGAGAGCAAAGUUUCUGGGUCUCCAGAUAUUGCAAGAAAAGCCAUCACAGAGAUUGCUUCGAGGCUUAGAGAUAGAAUCCUCAGAGAUGGAAUUUCCUCUUUUGAUGGUCCUCCUGCUGAUAUAUUUCCUAGCAGGGAAUUCACACUGUAUGGAAGACCUGCCAAUCCACCAUAUGGAAGGCUUGCCAAUGAUGCCCCUUAUGGAAGGCCUGCCAAUGAUACCCCUUAUGGAAGGCCUGCCAAUGAUACCCCUUAUGGAAGGCCUGCUAAUGAUUCCCCAUAUCAAAGGCGGCUUGCCAUUGAUCAACCAUAUGGGCUUGCCAGUGAUUCACUAUAUGGAAGACCUGCCAAUGAUCCACUAUAUGGGAGACCAGCCAAUGAUCCACUAUAUGGGAGACCAGCCAAUGAUCCACCAUAUGGAAGACCUGCCAACGACACACCAUAUGGGAGACCUGCCAACGACACACCAUAUGGGAGACCUGCCAACGAUACACCAUAUGGCAGACCAAACAAUAAACCCCAUGAUUCAGUAGAUUACUUCUCUAAAAGAAGAGAGUAUCCUAGUGGAAGUCCAUUUGCUAGCGACGCUCCACCAUCUGCUUCUUAUGAUAGAUAUGCAGCAUCUGCUCGCUUGCCUACUAGAGAAAUGCCCUUGCCUGUUAGUCCUGGUGCUGAUUACAUGUCGCAUCGUUCUUAUCAUGACCAUAUGCCUACUGAUAGCUAUUCUAGUAGAGGCAUUCAGCAAUUAGGCCUCUCAAGAGCUGGGAAUAGUAAUAUGCAACAAUUAGGCGUCACCAGAGCUGGAAAUUCCAAUGCUUAUGAUUACACUGAGGCUGCCGGGCAGAUGCAUGGACGUGAGGAUUAUCAAAGAGCGGCAGAUGUUACAGGGUAUUCAAGUAGCUCUGUUGAACUGAGGAUUCCAAAUAGUUCUCUGGAAUCUAUUGUUGGAGCUGGUGGUGUCAAUCUAGCAGAGAUCCGCCAGAUCUCUGGUGCAAGAAUGAAGUUACUUGAAGCCCGUCCCGGUUCUUCGGAAUCCAUCAUGGAGAUCCAAGGUAUGCCGGACCAAGUGGGAGUGGCACAGAGCCUUCUGCAAGGCUUCAUUGGUGCCAACAGCCAGAGCGUGCAGCCAUCCCAGUCUUCUCGCGACGUCCAUUAUCCAAGGUGGAACUAA
rnacentral:rRNA from 1 species